GAUGAACGCUGGCGGCGUGCUUAACACAUGCAAGUCGAACGAAACACCUUAUUUGAUUUUCUUCGGAACUGAAGAUUUGGUGAUUGAGUGGCGGACGGGUGAGUAACGCGUGGGUAACCUGCCCUGUACAGGGGGAUAACAGUCAGAAAUGACUGCUAAUACCGCAUAAGACCACAGCACCGCAUGGUGCAGGGGUAAAAACUCCGGUGGUACAGGAUGGACCCGCGUCUGAUUAGCUGGUUGGUGAGGUAACGGCUCACCAAGGCGACGAUCAGUAGCCGGCUUGAGAGAGUGAACGGCCACAUUGGGACUGAGACACGGCCCAAACUCCUACGGGAGGCAGCAGUGGGGAAUAUUGCACAAUGGGGGAAACCCUGAUGCAGCGACGCCGCGUGAGUGAAGAAGUAUUUCGGUAUGUAAAGCUCUAUCAGCAGGGAAGAAUAUGACGGUACCUGACUAAGAAGCCCCGGCUAACUACGUG
rnacentral:rRNA from 1 species